CUUGCGAAGCAUGCAUCAACUUGACCAGCAACGUGUUCAGUACCAGCGGCCUGACCUUCGCCACUACAAGCUUGGUUCCACACUGCUAUCGGGCAAAACAUAAACAACUAGCCAAACGUCGGAAAACUGCAUUUACUGCGAAAUAAACUCGAUUAUCGCAAGAGAUAAUGUACGGCCACAUUUUACUACCUUCAACAACUUCUUUUAAUGGAGGAAUCAUGUCUGUGGGAGGUUGCCUUCAAUAUAAUAAA